rnacentral:rRNA from 1 species
GACGAACGCUGGCGGCGUGCUUAACACAUGCAAGUCGAACGAAGUGGCGAAUGGGUGAGUAAUACGUGAGUAACCUGCCCUCCUUUAUGGGAUAAGCCUUGGAAACGGGGUCUAAUACCGAAUAAAGGGGGAUGGGCGCGCGGCCUAUCAGCUUGUUGGUGGGGUGAUGGCCUACCAAGGCGGUGACGGGUAGCCGGCCUGGGAGGGUGACCGUCCAACUUGGGACUGGGAUAGGGCCCUGCGUCCUACGGGAGGCGGCAGUUGGGGAUAUUGGACGAUGGGCGAAAGCCUGAUGCAGCGACGCCGGGUGGGGGAUGAAGGCUUUCGGAUUGUAAACCUCUUUCGCGAUAGAACGGGUAGGUGGAGAAGAAGCGCCGGCUAACUACGUGCCAGCAGCCGCGGUAAUUC